rnacentral:misc_RNA from 1 species
AACGCACCUUGCGCCCCUUGGCAUUCCGAGGGGCACACCCGUUUGAGUGUCGUGAAAUCCUCAAAACCCUCUUCUUUCGGGAAGAGGUGUUUUGGACUUGGAGGUUCAAUGCUCGCUUUCGUCUUUGAGAGCGAGCUCCUCUCAAAUGAAUCAGUGGGGUCUGCUUUGCUGGUCCUUGACGUGAUAAGAUGUUUCUACGUUUUGGAUUUGGCAUCGUCCCUUGGAUGCCCCCGCUCCUAAUCGUCUCAUGGACAAUGAUGGUGCUUCCGGUCACCGCCAAUCCACAUCGGCGGGAGGCUGGACCCACAAAAAAAACCUUGACCUCAAAUCGGGUGAGACUACCCGCUGAACUUAA